rnacentral:rRNA from 1 species
AUUGAACGCUGGCGGCAGGCCUAACACAUGCAAGUCGAGCGAGUGGCGGACGGGUGAGUAAUGUAUGGGGACUGCCCGAUAGAGGGGGAUAACUACUGGAAACGGUGGCUAAUACCGCAUACUAUCGGAUAACCCAUAUGGGAUUAGCUAGUAGGGGGGGUAAAGGCUAGCCAAGGCGACGAUCUCUAGCUGUUCUGAGAGGAUGAUCAGCAACAUUGGUACUGAGACACGGCCCAGAAUCCUACGGAGGGAGCAGUGGGGAAUAUUGCACAAUGGGCGCAAGCCUGAUGCAGCCAUGCCGCGUGUAUGAAGAAGGCCUUAGGGUUGUAAAGUACUUUCAGCGGGGAGGCGUUACCCGCAGAAGAAGCACCGGCUAACUCCGUGCCAGCAGCCGCGGUAAUUC